GGGCGAGUAGCUUAGCCAGGCUGGAGCACCCGGCUGAUAACCGGGAGGUCGCCGGUUCAAAUCCGGUCUCGCCCA
rnacentral:tRNA from 1 species